UACGCAGGGGGCUAGCGUUGCUCGGAAUCACUGGGCGUAAAGGGUGCGUAGGCGGGUCUUUAAGUCAGGGGUGAAAUCCUGGAGCUCAACUCCAGAACUGCCUUUGAUACUGAGGAUCUUGAGUCCGGGAGAGGUGAGUGGAACUGCGAGCGUAGAGGUGAAAUUCGUAGAUAUUCGCAAGAACACCAGUGGCGAAGGCGGCUCACUGGCCCGGUACUGACGCUGAGGCACGAAAGCGUGGGGAGCAAACAGG
rnacentral:rRNA from 1 species